CUCGAACAGCCCUUUUUAGGCUUAUAUAUUGAGGUAGAAAUGGAGAGAGGGCAACCUGUCUAUGAGAUUUUCUUUUAAUAUUUUCGCGAAAUAAGGAUUAGUAACCAAGACCAUCAUUUAAUAUCCUAGUCCUUUCAUUUUUAUGCAGAUAAAAUGUUAUCCUUCACUCGUGAACCCUGAAUCCACGGUUUAGUAUCAUUCAUUGCAAAAUUCUGAUAAAGAACAUAUAUUUUCCUGAGGCUUUCACAAUGAUAAACAGCUGAACUGAUUUCAGUCGUGGCACCAAAACAUUUACAUGCUGUCCAAUCCAUUAAUAACUACGAACCAUGUAUUUGCCCAAACAGAUUUUGCAUUCUAGUGACGUACAAUAUUUAAAAAAAAAUUACAUUUCACAGUUCAUAGAAUGAUAAAUGCGCGACAACUGAGUUAAAGCAGGGCAAAUCAAAGCCUUAUAAUCUCUCCGCAGUUCCAAAUUGGAAUUAACAGAAAAGGAAAGUUUAGGUAUACCUUUCCUCCCAAGCCGAAUCUCCUUCUUCUACAAUCUUCUCCCUCGGGUUGUCCCUGUCUCUUCUUUGCUUUCCUCAAGUUGUCUUCCCUGUUUCUUUCUUAAUUCUCCAGAAAUAGAGGAAAGAACUUAAGCCCGCCCUUCCGCCUAUGCGUGCUCGGUUUCUCUCUUUCUUCCCCUUUUUUUCUCGCUAGUUCUUAAUUUCUUGUCGUCUUUUUGCCCUUUUUUUCCUCUGCUUCUCUAUUCGCUCCUGAUUUUUCCUCUAAUAGUUUCAAAAAUUUAAAAGAAAAUACAUUUUUAUUAAAGUUAACAUACCUUAUACAAUAACUUAAAAAUACUAAAUAAUAUCACGGAAUAAGUUCUAUAAAAUAAAUACGAUAAAUAACAAAAAUAAAGAAAUUAUAAACCAUCUAACAUCUACUCGCCGUCUUUUUGUGGAUC
rnacentral:lncRNA from 1 species